CGUCAGCCAGACAUUUGAACACAAAGAAUGUCUCAUCAGUGGUGGUUGGAAGUCUUGAAACCCGGGUGUGUUGGGGGAUUAUUGACAUAAUGACCAAUGCCAUAUUUAACUCAGUCUACUAGUAAAGACACUAUACUUACUCAUCUAUCGAACAGAAUGAGAAAAUACAUAUUAAGAGAAGGGGAACGGAGUUCUGACUUUGUUCUCAAUUGUGAGGAAGAAAUUUUUACACACAGGAAAUUUUUCACAACAGGAAAGGCUUUUUAAAUGUCGUCUUAAAGAUCUGUGUAAGGAACUCCUGGUACGGAGUCUUCCUCCAUCAGAUUUAAAAUCUGAGAAAGUUGUUGGGGGCCCUGCAAGGUUAAGUAAUCUGCUCAUGGCCACGCGUCAGAGACCGGGUAAGUUUUCCUGACUCCCCGCCUGAUCUUGUAUGACCUGGGAGUAUGAUGUUUGGGUGGAAUCCCCAAAAGCUUGAAAUGCAAUGCUGCGAUGAGAAGCAUUCCAAAGUAGUUGAAUUAGUCCAUGUUAAAGUAGCGCUAAAUCGCUUUUUUUUUUAUACUUUUGUGGUAGGAUUGCAGUUUUCUGACACAACUUUUCACCCCAACAACCUUCUCACUAAACUUAACCCCACCCCCUCCAACAACUUCCAACCACCCCAGCUUGUUCUCAGGUCACGUGAAAGUUCUUUCCGCAAAAUCUGAUUGGCUUCAGCUUCUCUGACGCACUUCCGGCCCAGGAGCCAAUAGAAAGCCUAGAAAGGUAGGGCCCCCUCCCCCCGGCUCGACAACUUGGUGGAUGCACCUUGACGCCUGGCUGGGCAGCCGUGGGCAGCCAUGUUCCGGGUGAAAGGCGAGAGGGACUGCGUGGACGCAAGAUAAGUGCCUUCUCAUCCUUGCUCUGGGACCUUGCAGUAUUAAAGCAAAAUAAAUCUCUUCUCUUGUUCAAUUUUCAGUGAUUCAGGAAUACCUAGCAAGUGAACCUGAACCUCCGGCUUCAGCCAUGCUUACAACAUCCUUAUAACGAGUUUCCCUUGAGUUCCCAAUUGACGUCACAAAUAAAGGAGAUCUCUACUAGAAA